GCGGCAUGACUUCGAGAAUGUGCUCCGGCACUGUAAGCGAAGCCGGAUCGUCCUUCCGCCGAGUCUAGCAAGGAUCCAGCAUCGUCAGGACAUUGUCCAUUGUAUCGAGCUCCACCCAGAAACAAUUUGUUUGCCAGACACAUGUUUCGUCCUUUGGACACUUUUGACGGUUCUUUACCACCGAGUAAAGUAUAGUGUCCAGUGGCCUGACCGGAUUUCGGCUCAUGGAAUUGUACCUGCACAGCCUCACCUUUUUUAUCAUCGCCGAUGACGUACUGCUGCAUUUUCUCUACGUCAUAAAUUUCUAUUUUUCUACCGAGCACGUCACUGAUAGCACAUAGCUGUGGGAGUCCGGACGGAUCUCCGGAAUCUACGCCGUCUAUGAAAUCUUCGAUUUUCUGCAAGGCUGAUCCAUUUGCGUUGAGUAUAAUGGAUAUAUCACGUUGAUGCUAUUCGUUUGACCAAACUGUUGUGACAAAAGGUGGUAAUUAGAAGACACUGACAAUAUGUGCACGGUGAUAAAAGGUGGAAGGAACUCUAAGAACCCUCAGUGACUCAGCCCUGGCAUCUAUAAUGAGGAUGGAUUUUGAGAAGAGGAAAAAAAUAAUUCACGCAGAUGAUCAUCCUUUAAA
rnacentral:lncRNA from 1 species